ACACGCAAGCAUCUUGUGAAAUACCUGGGCUCAACCUGGGAAUUGCGGGGUGAACUGCGUGUCUUGAGGCAGGUAGAGGCGGUCGGAACGCUAGGUGGAGCGGUGAAAUGCGUAGAGAUCUAGCGGAACGCCAAAGGAGAAGUCAGGCCGCUGGGCCUGUCCUGACGCUGAGGCACGAAAGCGUGGGUAGCGAACGGGAUUAGAUACCCCGGUAGUCCACGCCCUAAACGUUGUGCACUAGAUCGAAGCGGCUCUGACGUCGUUUCGGUCGUAGCAAAAGCGUUAAGUGCACCGCCUGGGGAGUACGGUCGCAAGGCUAAAACUCAAAGGAAUUGACGGGGGCUCACACAAGCGGUGGAGCAUGUUGCUUAAUUCGAAGCAACGCGAAGAACCUUAUCCAGGGCUUGACAUGCAUGGAUUAGCUCUCGGAAACAUGAGUGACGCCCGCAAGGGUGGAACAUGCACAGGUGCUGCAUGGCUGUCGUCAGCUCGAGCUGUGAAGUGUCGGGUUAAGUCCCUUAACGAGCGCAACCCUUAUCGCUAGUUGCCAGCGGGGCAUGCCGGGGACUCUAGCGAGACUGCCGGUGUCAAACCGGAGGAAGGUGGGGAUGACGUCAAGUCCUCAUGGCCUUUAUGCCCUGGGCUGCAAACGUGCUACAAUGGCGUAUACAAAGCGAUGCGAGGCCGCGAGGCGGAGCAAAUCGCAAAAAGUACGCCCCAGUUCGGAUUGGAGUCUGCAAUUCGACUCCAUGAAGUCGGAAUCGCUAGUAAUC
rnacentral:rRNA from 1 species